AUGGACAUCCCCAAGCAGCCCACCUAUCCCAGCACCAACCUGUCACAUGUCCUUUGGCCGCUGCCCUUCAUGUGCCGAUACAACGCCCAGUGUAUGUGGGUGAUGCCACAUAUCUCAGCAAACAAAGAGAGAUGCUUUGGUAAAGAUACCAAAAAACAAAGAUAUCUUCAUUCCAAAUGCUCAUCCCUAACUCCUGUACAGCAGGACAGCACAUCACGGAGGAAGCCUGCAGAACGCACAGUUCCUGGCUUCUACCACGGUGCAGUGCUGUCUGGUGACUGCAGUCCGUAGGCACAAAGGAGCAUCCAGCAUCCUUAUCAGUGAUGGCUUCAGAGUUCAGGGAGGAGCUUCACCUGGAUUGUUUUCUCAGAGCCUCGCGUUCCUGAGAACAGCAGCAAGCAGUGUCGUUCACACAGAAGAGCUGAUGUUCUCCCCUGCCAUAGGGAUCACUGAGGGAUCUCACUCAGGUGUGUGCAGGAGUUGGAAGGAAUCGCAGUGAUUUGUGCUUGUGAGGACCUGGCUGUGUAUGAGAGAAGCAGUAAAAAGUCCUACAGACUGACAUACCAUGAUAAAAAUCCACUUGCUGAUGCAUUUCUCCGCAGCUGGGAUCCACCAGAGAAGCUGUGUUCAGUCAUUUUCCAAGGCAUGGCAGAAGGAGUCCAGGCUGACUGAAUGAAGCUCCACUCGCAAUUCAAAAAUACUUUUAUAGAACUGUGAUUAGCACUGCUAAUCUCGCCUCGGUGAGCCAAAGACAAUAACAGUGAGGUUACCGAACACCUCACCUAUUAUGUAAUUCUGCUCCUCAGAAACUCGCUGGUGUGAGUGCUUUUGAAACCCAUUAGUAAAACUGAAUUUGCCAAAUGAGCCUUCUCUGGGGGGAACAAAGUCAAACGUGUGCCAGCAUGGAGCCAGCGCCUGCCGGAGGCUGAGCCUUCACAAAUCCCAUGGCUACCAGUGAGAUUUGAAGACGUAAAGUCCUUGAUCCGGCUGUAAAAUGAACUGAUGGCUGUGAAGCUGCCGUUCCCUUUGAUAACAGCACUGUGUGCUUAUUCCUAACAGGCCCUGGUGCUUCAGGCUGGCACCGACCCAUGACAGCGGGCUGCCUAGUUCCACCUGCACACCGUGGGACAGCCCUGAUGUCCUCCUGCAGCAUCCACCGACCACAAGGGGACUGGGUGCUCUGGUGGGACCCAGAGCGCGGGGCUCUCCUCUCCUGUCUAGGUCAGCCAGCCUGUGUUAAGCCUUUCUUCUGGUGAUUCUUCCUCACAAACAAAGCUGCAGAAAGAGGGAAAAUACAGCUGAGCUUCCACAAAAAGCCACGAUGAGUUUUCAGCAGAGGAUGGGCAGAGCGGAAAUUUCCACGAGGAUACUGCUGCAAUUGGAAAUAGCUCUUUGAGAACAAUUAUCUGUGGAAGUUUCAAAUAAGAAAAAGGAAGAAUUUCCCUUAAUUGUUAAGAAAAAUAUAUAUCAGUAUAAAACACAUGGAGAAAAUAAACAAACGGUGAAGACGCUGUUGCUAGUAGGCUGGCUUUGUAAGUAUUGCUGGAACCUCGCAGAACAAGAGUUUCUUUUAUUCUUUUUAUCCCAGCUCCCCACUUGCACAGUUCUUGUGUGAACAUGCAGCAGUUUCCAAGGCUGUGAAAUUAUCAGAGCUGGACCAAUGCCAGUACAAACCAAUUUAUUGGGGUCCAGCAAUUAACUAAAACCUAGAAAGCCUGAUUAAUUGUGGCACUGCUCAGCAGGGAACAUUUAGGGGGAAAAAAAAAAAAAAAUCAGGACUAAACUCCAUGCAGUGUCUCUGUUCCAUAUCCCAACUUACACUAUAUGUAAAGAAAAGUUUCCUCUCUCUAAGUACACUUAUUUUGCACUGUGCACCAAGAAUAACUACAAUGCCAUUUGAAAUAAUGUGUUUGUGGCUCUCUAGAUUAUCAUUUCAUAGUAGCUUUUGUCCACUUAUAAUUUUCUGGUGUAGGAUUCAUAUCUUAUUCUAACCCACACAAUAGGAUGUAUUAUUUUAAAACAUUGCUUUGUUAAGCUUCUUUCUGGAGAGACGUGGGAGCAUCCAGCACUGCUCCGUUUCUUUAUUUUCCUCCAACUGUUGACAUGUGUGAGAAAAAUGAGGGUUUGGUGGUUGUUUGGAAUUGUUUAAGAUACAAACCCAAGGAAACAGAAUGGUUGAGCUGAGAACCGAUUUAC
rnacentral:lncRNA from 1 species